rnacentral:miRNA from 1 species
GAGCUCCCCUCUGGAGAGAUCUCGCUGGGGCCUCCAAAUGUUAUGGUGCAAACAAUUCUAAGACCUAUGGGGCCAAUUGAAAUUAAUUAUGAGCCUUUAUUAG